UUAUAUGGAGGGCCCUUUUUGAUGUCACAACAGAAUUGAAUUCCGGAAUGGCAUAUGACAUCAUUGACUGGUCAGUGAUGUCACAGAAGAUUUUCUAUAUAAAGAACACUGUCACCUUCACAUUUCAUUCUUUGCGACUAUUUCAAAGCAGCCACUAGUUUCAUUAGUUCUGAGAAGGAAAGUCAGUAUGGGUUUAAGUUGUGCUAAGGCGCAGGGCCCCAGACCAAAACAGGAUGAGGGCCCGAAAAAGAAGUGUGCUUUCCUCAGUUGCUGGAGAAGACUGAGGAAGAGACGGCAUGAUGAGAAUGACAGGGUGAGCAUGGCUGAAGUGAGCCUUGAGCUGCCCAGUGAGAGUUCAGCUGAAAACUCCAUCAAAGAAAGUGUAGAGCAGAUGAGCAGCCAGUACGAAACGGCAAGCUCGGGAUCGGAAGAUGAUGGAGAUCAGCUUCGACGAAGAAUCGUCAGAAGUAGACUGGGUAGGGGAACCACCCAGUCAAUUAAAAAAGGAGACCAACAGCGGGUGAGAUGCAGGGUCGAUAAAAGACGAACCCGAUCUGAAUCAGAUCUGAGGAGACCCGCUGAGAAGCAACAGCGACGGCCUAUGAGGCAAUUUAAUUGGAGGAGACCAGUUCCGACAAGGACAAAGUCUGACACUGAACUGGUGAGGCCCACAACGUCAGACUGAGCAGAGCCCAGCUGCGGACUGGGCCUGGAGAGGGACACCAGACUCCUGUGGCUCCACAUGCGCCACUGCGCCUCACUGUGUUUGCCCGCAGCUAUACCCGUGGAUCCCAGUGGUCACUGUAACUGCAGCUCUGCUCUGCAUGCGCCUCUCUGUUUUCAUAUACAUGCAGAGAUACAAAAAAUGGGGCAGGAGAGGAUUGAUGGAGGACGACUGCUGUGGAUUCACACAGCAUGCAGCCCACUGUGACCUCUGACCUUAGCCUAACCUCUGCAAGCCACUCCUCCACGUGUUCAUUUUGACACACACUGAAGUCUGGUUGAACUGUAAAAAGGGGCAUACAGCCUCAUUUUGAAUGAUUAUUAAGCAAUAAAAUCUUUCAUUAAA